AUAUCCAGAACCCUGACCCUGCCGUGUACCAGCUGAGAGACUCUAAAUCCAGUGACAAGUCUGUCUGCCUAUUCACCGAUUUUGAUUCUCAAACAAAUGUGUCACAAAGUAAGGAUUCUGAUGUGUAUAUCACAGACAAAACUGUGCUAGACAUGAGGUCUAUGGACUUCAAGAGCAACAGUGCUGUGGCCUGGAGCAACAAAUCUGACUUUGCAUGUGCAAACGCCUUCAACAACAGCAUUAUUCCAGAAGACACCUUCUUCCCCAGCCCAGGAAAGUUCCUGUGAUGUCAAGCUGGUCGAGAAAAGCUUUGAAACAGAUACGAACCUAAACUUUCAAAACCUGUCAGUGAUUGGGUUCCGAAUCCUCCUCCUGAAAGUGGCCGGGUUUAAUCUGCUCAUGACGCUGCGGCUGUGGUCCAGCUGAGAUCUGCAAGAUUGUAAGACAGCCUGUGCUCCCUCGCUCCUUCCUCUGCAUUGCCCCUCUUCUCCCUCUCCAAACAGAGGGAACUCUCCUACCCCCAAGGAGGUGAAAGCUGCUACCACCUCUGUGCCCCCCCGGCAAUGCCACCAACUGGAUCCUACCCGAAUUUAUGAUUAAGAUUGCUGAAGAGCUGCCAAACACUGCUGCCACCCCCUCUGUUCCCUUAUUGCUGCUUGUCACUGCCUGACAUUCACGGCAGAGGCAAGGCUGCUGCAGCCUCCCCUGGCUGUGCACAUUCCCUCCUGCUCCCCAGAGACUGCCUCCGCCAUCCCACAGAUGAUGGAUCUUCAGUGGGUUCUCUUGGGCUCUAGGUCCUGCAGAAUGUUGUGAGGGGUUUAUUUUUUUUUAAUAGUGUUCAUAAAGAAAUACAUAGUAUUCUUCUUCUCAAGACGUGGGGGGAAAUUAUCUCAUUAUCGAGGCCCUGCUAUGCUGUGUAUCUGGGCGUGUUGUAUGUCCUGCUGCCGAUGCCUUC